GAGGCAGCAGUAGGGAAUUUUCGGCAAUGGGGGAAACCCUGACCGAGCAACGCCGCGUGAAUGACGAAGUACUUCGGUAUGUAAAGUUCUUUUAUCAGGGAAGAAUGGCUAGCGGAAAAGCUAGAUUGACGGUACCUGAUGAAUAAGCCCCGGCUAACUAUGUGCCAGCAGCCGCGGUAAUACAUAGGGGGCAAGCGUUAUCCGGAAUUAUUGGGCGUAAAGGGUGCGUAGGUGGUUAAUUAAGUCUUUGGUAUAAGUGCAGUGCUUAACGCUGUGAUGCUAAAGAAACUGGUUGACUUGAGUGUGGUAGAGGCAAGUGGAAUUCCAUGUGUAGCGGUAAAAUGCGUAAAUAUAUGGAGGAACACCAGUGGCGAAGGCGGCUUGCUGGGCCAUAACUGACACUGAGGCACGAAAGCGUGGGGAGCAAACAGGAUUAGAUACCCUGGUAGUCCACGCCGUAAACGAUGAGUACUAAGUGUUGGAGAAAUUCAGUGC
rnacentral:rRNA from 1 species